rnacentral:rRNA from 1 species
AUAAAUAAUGCCUGUACCAUAACCGACACAGGUGGGUAGGUAGAGUAUACUAAGGGGCGCGAGAUAACUCUCUCUAAGGAACUCGGCAAAAUGACUCCGUAACUUCGGGAGAAGGAGUGCCUUAUUUUUAAGGUUGCAAUAACAAGAUCCAAGCAACUGUUUAUCAAAAACACAGGUCUCCGCUAAGUCGUAAGACGAUGUAUGGGGGCUGACGCCUGCCCAGUGCCAGAAGGUUAAAGAAGUUGGUUAGCACUUGCGAAGCUGAUAACUGAAGCCCUGGUGAACGGCGGCCGUAACUAUAACGGUCCUAAGGUAGCGAAAUUCCUUGUCGGGUAAGUUCCGACCCGCACGAAAGGCGUAAUGAUUUGGAUACUGUCUCGGAGAGGGGCUCGGUGAAAUAGACUUGUCUGUGAAGAUGCGGACUACCUGCACCUGGACAGAAAGACCCUAUGAAGCUUUACUGUAACUUGAAAUUGAAAUUGGACUUUACUUGCGCAGUAUAGGUGGGAGGCGUUGAAUUUAUUCUUGCGGGAAUUUAGGAGCCAUCAGUGAGAUACCACUCUGGUAAUGUUAGAUUUCUAACUUUGAAUCAUGAUCUGGUCAAAGAACAGUUUCAGGCGGGCAGUUUGACUGGGGCGGUCGCCUCCCAAAUGGUAACGGAGGCGUACAAAGGUUUCCUCUGAACGUGUAGAAAUCGUAUCUAGAGUGUAAAGGCAUAAGGAAGCUUGACUGUGAGACCUACAAGUCGAGCAGGGACGAAAGUCGGUCUUAGUGAUCUGACGGUGCUGAGUGGAAAGGCCGUCACUCAACGGAUAAAAGUUACUCUAGGAUAACAGGCUGAUCUCCCCCAAGAGUUCACAUCGACGGGGAGGUUUGGCACCUCGAUGUCGGCUCAUCGCAUCCUGGGGCGGUAGUACGUCCCAAGGGUUGGGCUGUUCGCCCAUGAAAGCGGUACGCGAGCUGGGUUCAGAACGUCGUGAGACAGUUCGGUCCAUAUCCGGUGUAGGCGUUAGAAUAUUGAGAGGAGCCUUCUUUAGUACGAGAGGACCGAGAAGGACAUACCUCUGGUGUACCAGUUAUCGUGCCAACGGUAAACGCUGGGUAGCUAUGUAUGGAGAGGAUAACCGCUGAAAGCAUCUAAGUGGGAAGCCCACCUCAAGAUAAGUAUUCUCAUCACAUAAGUGAGUAAGGUCACGGUAAGACUGACCGUUUAAUAGGCAUUAAGUAUAAAUAUAGUAAUAUAUGAGCUGA